UGAAAUUUUAAUGGCCGCGGUAUUUUGACCGUGCAAAGGUAGCAUAAUCAUUAGUUUAUUAAUUGUGAACUGGAAUGAAUGGUUGGACGAAAUAUUAGCUGUCUCAUUUUUAAUUUUUGAAUUUAAAUUUUAAGUUAAAAUGCUUAAAUUAUUUUAUAGGACGAGAAGACCCUAUAGAUCUUAAUUAUAUAUUUUUAUUUUUGGUUUAGUUGUUUUAUUUUUUAAUAAUUAUUUAUUGUUUGGUUGGGGUGACUUGAGGAAAUAAUUAACUCCUUAUUAUUCAUUCAAUUAUUUUUGUUUAAUUGACCUUUUAUUAUUGUUGUAAGAUAAAGAUACCUUAGGGAUAACAGCGUAAUUCUUUUUGAGAGUUCAUAUUGACAGAAGAGAUUGCGACCUCGAUGUUGGAUUAAGAUUAUAGUUUGGUGUAGUAGCUUUAUUAUUAGGUCUGUUCGACCUUUAAAAUCUUACAUGAUCUGAGUUCAAACCGG
rnacentral:rRNA from 1 species